CGUGGGGUCCGCCGCGUCGCGGGGCCUGCGGGACGCCGCCCUGGUCUUCCGGGGGGAGCGAGGGGGCGCCCUGGGGACCCCGGCGGCGCUGCGAGCGCGGGGCGCCUGUGGCUCUCCCCGCAGCGCGCGGGCAGCCCGUCCCUGCCUCCCGCAAGGGCUUCCCGUCUUCUACAGCCGCGGGGACGGUUUUUGCGUGUUUUCCCCGGCCCGCGGGCCGCAGCGUGGGAGGACCAGCGAGGGCCGGUGUGGGGUGGCAGCGGACAAGGGGGGGCAGACGGACAGUGCACGGGGGCAGCGGGGUCACCCGGGACAACGAGCCACAGCGUGGGAGAGCGAGGGGCGGCGCGGGACAGCGAGGGGACAGCGUGGGGCCGCGAAGGGCGCCGAGGCCGCACUGCUGACGCCUCUCCGGGGAGAGCCGAGGGGGAGUGCCAGCCACCUCCCUCUGACCACGGGUUUGAAAGCCAACUGGUGGCCGUGGACCCGGCCAGGGCCCCCCACGGGCCCCCGAGGUCCCCAGGCCGAGUGUCCUUGUCAGACCCACGCUGGCCUCCCAUCCCUCGGCCUGGCUGGCGGCCACUGAUGCCCGAGGAUGCAGCACCAGCGAGCCUCUCCCGGGGCGCCGGUGAUGCAACCCGGGCUUAUAGUUUAACCGUAAAAUAAAUAAUACAAAUGAUAACAAACCAAGAGUAACUAAAGUGAGAAAAAAAGCAAACAAGACAGAAACCCUCCAGCUGGAACCAGAACAAACCCCCGGAGCGGGACUCCACGGAGCAGGGGCCAGAGGCCUCGCGCUGACCUCGCGGGUCUCCCGGGGCCGGGCCUGCGUGUCAGCCGUAACGCCCGGUGGUCGUGCCUUGAACGGCCUAACCGGGAUGGCCUACCGUCGGGAAGGAGAGAUCCCGGCCUCAUUACCAGUUGCAAGAUAAAUGAAUGUUUACCGGAGAGGCCUCCAUCCUCCUCCUGGCCGGCUGGCCAGCUUUGGGCUGUCUCCCUAUCUGUGCUCCUUAUCAACAGCUCCGAAAAUGCAGAUUCGCCCCACCCCCACCCCACUUUGCCUUCCCCUGUGUUUCCAGCUUUACCACCGGCUGUUAACCGUGGACAGCCAGGACCAGAGAACCUCUUCGCCCGGGGCUCGGGGCAGCUUUUGCUGAAUGGGGACCUCGAGCUCCGGUUUCCUCCGAAGGGAACCCUGGCCGCGCUGUUCCAAGUUGCCUCAAUACAGUUGUAAUUCGUGCUGCCUCGCUGGCGUGCUUUCACAUUCCCCUAUUCAUAAAACCGUGAUAGUCACCCCAGCAACCAGCAAACACACCCCUUUAGGGAAAGAAGAUCCCGGGAUACGCACUAUAAUAGUGACUAUAUGGUUGUGAGCUGUAUAAUGUGCUCAUGUUUUGGUAAAGUAUCAAAAGCCAUAA